AGAGAAUACAUCUGCGGUCUUCGACCUCCU
rnacentral:piRNA from 1 species